rnacentral:lncRNA from 1 species
UUUCAUUUAUCACAAACCUAUGCACACAACCUCUUAUACCUAUUUUCAAAGAGUGCAAACGGGACACCGACUAGCUAUGAAUGAGUGCGCAAUAGAUUAAUAGUACAAUAACAACAUAUUACCCGUAAAAUUAAGCAAUAAAACUUCCUCUCUAGUCACCAUCCCACAGUUUUACUUUGGUCGCCAUGAUCUAUGUCCAUGGGCCCUAGAGCAUGAAUACCAAUUAGUUCAGAUCUCUCAAGGAAAACUAAACCACAAUUCCAAUCAUGGAACCAAAAU